GUUUAGCUGACCCUGUAGUUCCUGGGGCUCUUUGGGAGGGGGAAAAAAAAGAUCAGAAAGGCCAAUCUAGAGAGAGGGAACUCAAGGGAUCCUGGCUGAUGGGUAAACAGAACAAUCCUAGAUCUGACCUGUUUUGUCUAAAAGAACAAUGGGUUAAAAGAGAGUAAAGACCAACUGGACAAGCAAAUAUUUUCCACAGUUUCCGCGAAGUCUUGAAGAUAUAGAGCUUGAAAGUGAGCAUCAAGUGAGACAACGAGGACCGCGGAUGGGGAGGAGACCUCUGACAGCCAACGGAGCAUGCGCAGAAGCUCCAAUAGGGAGGAGACGCCCGUGCCAAACAGAACACGAGCAGAAGCUACACUAGGGCAUGUGAUUGUGAACUUAUUUCCUGGAAAAUGAGGGCGGUCACUACUGCACUGUCCCAUGGCAGUGUGCCGCUGCAGGCUGAGAGGAGGAGAUGUGUCACUGAUCCCUGUGUAAUAAGGACCUACUACGUAACAGAUGGAAGGUUGGGUUUGCUUCUUGGAGUCUUUUACAAAGGCAAAUUGAAGGAGUGUGCUGCGUGUCAACUGGGGGAGCGGAUUGCCUGGCACAAUGAGGUUGACAUCGAUUCAGAAAACGGGACAGAAGUCAAGUGACCCGAGUCUCGAACUCUAUUGAAACUAUUAGUGGGAAAAGGUAAAGGGACAAGAUGCAGACAAACUGAGACAGUGGUGCUGGGAUCCAUUUCUGUAAAGCAUCUAGGUAGAAAACAAGCAAAGACCAUGAGUCCCAUUAGGAUCCGGACUUGAGACUCGUUCUGGCUGCCUGUGGACUGUCUCUGAUGCUCCAUGACCAACGACAGAGAGUACAGCCUCACGGCUGCCAUCUGGGGCUUCACUGCUGGAAAGCUCUUCAGGCACCGAUAGGGAGAAUUCGGACCCCGGGAUCUCCUCAGGCAAGCAGUGAGCAUAUGACUGACUGUUCUCAAUCCAGUCCUCUCCUUAAACAGAAGGCCAGAGCCCCACCACCUUCCCUGUAGACACACACUUGCUUGGGCUUCCAGAGUCUGCAGUGCUCCAAAGGUGGCGACAUCCAUGGGUUCACAGCUAACAUGAGUGCACCCCUCGCCAGGCUCCAACGCAUCAUCGGUGGCCCCUUUUCUGAGGAAAUGGGUGCUUUUCCCCAUGUCUUUCUGCCUCUGAGAGGAAGCAGGCACGAACAACACGAUACUGGGUCACAAGGCAAUAUACUGGGUCAUUCACUGUGACAGAAACUUCAGGGGUUGUCUCUGAGGAACCAAACCCCACCGGCCAAGCCCAUUUCCUCUCUUGCUUACAUUCGUUUCUUCUUGAAAUUCUUUUUGUCGGUUCCUGGGUUAAAUUAUUCCUCUGAACCAUUUUCAUGUCUCCUGAAAAGAAACUUGGGGUUCUCCUAAUAUUUUGGGGAUUUAAAAUCAAAUUACCCGAGCUCUCAUUCGGACUAAAAGCAAUAUGAAGAUACGUUAUAAAAACAUAGCAGAAAUAAAAGUAAUGCAAAAAUUG